rnacentral:rRNA from 1 species
CUCGUAGGCGGUUCGUCGCGUCCGGUGUGAAAGUCCAUCGCUUAACGGUGGAUCCGCGCCGGGUACGGGCGGGCUUGAGUGCGGUAGGGGAGACUGGAAUUCCCGGUGUAACGGUGGAAUGUGUAGAUAUCGGGAAGAACACCAAUGGCGAAGGCAGGUCUCUGGGCCGUUACUGACGCUGAGGGGCGAAAGCGUGGGGAGCGAACA